AUGUGUGCUGUUUCAUUCUGGAGCCUGCAGGCUGCAUUACAGGAGAUGGAUACGAAGUCCUCGGAGGAGGAAUACAAAGCUCUACAAGGUGAUGGAGCUGGAGAUGUUGUGUAUUUCCAGUCUCUUGAAGAACGAAUCAUUAAUAUGAAGAAGUACAUAUACGUUACUUUGAAUGAUGCCAUGUGCAGUCUUAAAAAGCUGAACAUCUUUCUCUGCAAACUUGUGACCCAGUUCCAGGACAACUAUGGACUAAGAAGAUUGCCCUUCAAAAUUUUCUUGCCUGCUCUCCUUGCCCCUGAGCUCCUGUACCAGCAACAACAACUUAACCAGAAGCAUUACACUGAGGCGCUCAGAAGAAACCCAAAGGAUCCAAAGGUAUACGGCAACACGGCUUCCUGUUACACCAAGACGGAUGCCAUGCCUGAAGUACUGAAGGAUACCAAGAAGUGCAUCGAGCUAUAUCCCACAUUCUACAAGGGAUGCACAAGGAAGGGUGCAAUCCUGUUUGUCUCUAAAGAAUGCGACAAAGCAAGGGAACGAGUGUUCCUGAGUGUGCCUUCGCUCAUUAAUGCUCCAUACAUGUCAGCUGAUACAUUUGUUCAUGUCUACAUCUUGGUGUAA
rnacentral:rRNA from 1 species